AAGGAUCAUUAUUGAAAUAAACCUGAUAAGUUGCUGCUGGUUCUCUAGGGAGCAAUGUGCACACUUGUCAUCUUUGUAUCUUCACCUGUGCACCUUUUGUAGACCUGACUAUCUCUCUGAAUGCUUUAUAGCAUUCAGGAUUGAGAAUUGACUUCUUGUCUCUUCUUAUAUUUUCAGGUCUAUGUUUUCUCAUAUACCCCAAUGUAUGUUUAUAGAAUGUAAUUAAUGGGCCUUUGUGCCUAUAAACCUUUACAACUUUCAGCAACGGAUCUCUUGGCUCUCGCAUCGAUGAAGAACGCAGCGAAAUGCGAUAAGUAAUGUGAAUUGCAGAAUUCAGUGAAUCAUCGAAUCUUUGAACGCACCUUGCGCUCCUUGGUAUUCCGAGGAGCAUGCCUGUUUGAGUGUCAUUAAUAUUAUCAACCUUUUUGGUUGGAUGUGGGUUUGCUGGCCUCUUGAGGUCAGCUCUCCUUAAAUUCAUUAGCGGACAACAUUUUGCCAACUGCUCAUUGGUGUGAUAAUUAUCUACGCUAUUGACGUGAAGCAAGGUUCAGCUUCUAAUAGUCCAUUGACUUGGACAAGCCUUCUUUUAUUAAUUGACCUCAAAUCAGGUAGGACUACCCGCUGAACUUAAGCAUAUCAAUAAGCGGAGGAAAAGAAACUAACAAGGAUUCCCCUAGUAACUGCGAGUGAAGCGGGAAAAGCUCAAAUUUAAAA
rnacentral:rRNA from 1 species